UACGUAGGGGGCAAGCGUUGUCCGGAAUCAUUGGGCGUAAAGCGCGUGUAGGCGGCUCGGUAAGUCUGCUGUGAAAGUCCAGGGCUCAACCCUGGGAUGCCGGUGGAUACUGUCGAGCUCGAGUCCGGAAGAGGCGAGUGGAAUUCCUGGUGUAGCGGCGAAAUGCGCAGAUAUCAGGAGGAACACCAAUGGCGAAGGCAGCUCGCUGGGACGUGACUGACGCUGAGACGCGAAAGCGUGGGGAGCAAACAGG
rnacentral:rRNA from 1 species